AUUGAACGCUGGCGGCAGGCCUAACACAUGCAAGUCGAACGAGUGGCGGACGGGUGAGUAAUGUCUGGGAAACUGCCUGAGGGAGGGGGAUAACUACUGGAAACGGUAGCUAAUACCGCAUACCAUCGGAUGUGCCGAGAUGGGAUUAGCUAGUAGGUGGGGUAACGGCUCACCAAGGCGACGAUCCCUAGCUGGGCUGAGAGGAUGACCAGCCACACUGGAACGGAGACACGGUCCAGACUCCUACGGUAGGCAGCAGUGGGGAAUAUUGCACAAUGGGCGCAAGCCUGAUGCAGCAAUGCCGCGUGUAUGAAGAAGGCCUUCGGGUUGUAAAGUACUUUCAGCGGGGAGGCGUUACCCGCAGAAGAAGCACCGGCUAACGCCGUGCCAGCAGCCGCGGUAAUUC
rnacentral:rRNA from 1 species